UACGUAGGGGGCAAGCGUUGUCCGGAAUCAUUGGGCGUAAAGAGCGCGUAGGCGGCCCUGUAAGUCCGCUGUGAAAGUCAAGGGCUCAACCCUUGAAUGCCGGUGGAUACUGCAGGGCUAGAGUCCGGAAGAGGCGAGUGGAAUUCCUGGUGUAGCGGUGAAAUGCGUAGAUAUGCGGAGGAACACCGAUGACGAAGGCAAUCCCCUGGGCCUGUACUGACGCUCAUGCACGAAAGCGUGGGGAGCAAACAGG
rnacentral:rRNA from 1 species